AGGACGAACGCUGGCGGCGUGCUUAACACAUGCAAGUCGAGCGGUAAGGCCUUUCGGGGUACACGAGCGGCGAACGGGUGAGUAACACGUGGGUGAUCUGCCCUGCACUCUGGGAUAAGCCUGGGAAACUGGGUCUAAUACCGGAUAUGACCUGCUCUCGCAUGGGGGGUGGGUGGAAAGAUUUAUCGGUGCAGGAUGGGCCCGCGGCCUAUCAGCUUGUUGGUGGGGUAAUGGCCUACCAAGGCGACGACGGGUAGCCGACCUGAGAGGGUGACCGGCCACACUGGGACUGAGACACGGCCCAGACUCCUACGGGAGGCAGCAGUGGGGAAUAUUGCACAAUGGGCGAAAGCCUGAUGCAGCGACGCCGCGUGAGGAUGAAGGCCUUCGGGUUGUAAACCGUACUUUCAGCAGGACGAAGACGCAAGUGACGGUACCGUGCAGAAGAAGACACCGGACCUAACUAACGUGCCAGCAGCCGC
rnacentral:rRNA from 1 species